rnacentral:rRNA from 2 species
UUGGUUAAGUUAGAAAGGGCGCACGGUGGAUGCCUUGGCACUAGGAGCCGAAGAAGGACGGGACUAACACCGAUAUGCUUUGGGGAGCUGUACGUAAGCGUUGAUCCAGAGAUUUCCGAAUGGGGGAACCCACUAUCUUUAGUCGGAUAGUAUCCUUACGUGAAUACAUAGCGUGAGGAAGGCAGACCCAGGGAACUGAAACAUCUAAGUACCUGGAGGAAGAGAAAGAAAAAUCGAUUUCCUGAGUAGCGGCGAGCGAAACGGAAAGAGCCCAAACCAAGAAGCUUGCUUCUUGGGGUUGUAGGACACUCUAUACGGAGUUACAAAAGAAAGUUAUAAAUGAAGCGGUCUGGAAAGGCCCGCCAAAGACGGUAACAGCCCGGUAGUUGAAAUGGCUUUCCCUCCAGAGUGGAUCCUGAGUACGGCGGAACACGUGAAAUUCCGUCGGAAUCCGGGAGGACCAUCUCCCAAGGCUAAAUACUCCCUAGUGACCGAUAGUGAACCAGUACCGUGAGGGAAAGGUGAAAAGCACCCCGGAAGGGGAGUGAAACAGUUCCUGAAACCGUGUGCCUACAAGUAGUUAGAGCCCGUUAAUGGGUGAUAGCGUGCCUUUUGUAGAAUGAACCGGCGAGUUACGAUUUGUUGCAAGGUUAAGCGGAAAAAGCGGAGCCGUAGCGAAAGCGAGUCUGAAUAGGGCGCAUAAGUAACAGGUCGUAGACCCGAAACCAGGUGAUCUACCCAUGUCCAGGAUGAAGGUAAGGUAAUACUUACUGGAGGUCCGAACCCACGCACGUUGAAAAGUGCGGGGAUGAGGUGUGGGUAGCGGAGAAAUUCCAAUCGAACUUGGAGAUAGCUGGUUCUCUCCGAAAUAGCUUUAGGGCUAGCCUCGAGGUAAAGAGUCAUGGAGGUAGAGCACUGUUUGGACUAGGGGCCCUUCUCGGGUUACCGAAUUCAGAUAAACUCCGAAUGCCAUGUACUUAUACUCGGGAGUCAGACUGCGAGUGAUAAGAUCCGUAGUCGAAAGGGAAACAGCCCAGACCACCAGUUAAGGUCCCCAAAUAUAUGUUAAGUGGAAAAGGAUGUGGGGUUGCUUAGACAACCAGGAUGUUGGCUUAGAAGCAGCCACCAUUGAAAGAGUGCGUAAUAGCUCACUGGUCGAGUGACCCCGCGCCGAAAAUGUACCGGGGCUAAACAUAUUACCGAAACUGUGGAUGAACCUCUU